AUGACCCAUCCAAAGAAGCUUGCUCAGCUGGCCAAGAAGUGUCAGCGGAUGUUGGUGGCCAGAGCCGGUGCCCGCCGUCGGCGUGCCUCAGAUACGGCCGAUGACGAGUGCUCCAGCACAGUGUCAUCUGUGGUUGCCGAUGAGGGCCACUGCGUGAUGUACACCGCCGACGGAACCCGGUUCGAGGUCCCUCUGCCGUACCUCGGGACUACGGUCUUCGCCGAGCUCCUGAGGAUGUCUGAGGAGGAGUUUGGCUUCGUGAGCAGCAGUGAUGGAGGCAGGAUCAUGCUGACCUGCGAUGCCAAUGUGAUGGAAUAUGUCUUGUGCCUGGUCAGGAGAGAGGCCCCUGAGGAGGUCGAGAGGGCGUUGUUGAGCUCCAUUGUUGGGCAUGGGCACAACUACAAUGCUAGCUGCAUGACACCAUCAAUGGGACUCGGCCAUCAGUUUGCUCUUUGUACUUAG
rnacentral:rRNA from 1 species